UCUGGUUGAUCCUGCCAGUAGUUAUAUGCUUGUCUCAAAGAUUAAGCCAUGCAUGUCUAAGUACACACGAAUUAAAAGUGAAACCGCAAAAGGCUCAUUAUAUCAGUUAUGGUUCCUUAGAUCGUUAACACAGUUACUUGGAUAACUGUGGUAAUUCUAGAGCUAAUACAUGCAAUUAAAACAUGAACCUUAUGGGACAUGUGCUUUUAUUAGGCUAAAACCAAGCGAUCGCAAGAUCGUUAUAUUGGUUGAACUCUAGAUAACAUGCAGAUCGUAUGGUCUUGUACCGACGACAGAUCUUUCAAAUGUCUGCCCUAUCAACUUUUGAUGGUAGUACUAGGACUACCAUGGUUGCAACGGGUAACGGGGAAUCAGGGUUCGAUUCCGGAGAGGGAGCCUGAGAAACGGCUACCACAUCUAAGGAAGUCUGGUGCCAGCAGCCGCGGUAAUUCCAGCUCCAAUAGCGUAUAUUAAAGUUGUUGCGGUUAAAACGUUCGUAGUUGAAUUGUGCUUCAUACGGGUAGUACAACUUACAAUUGUGGUUAGUACUAUACUUUAUGUAUGUAAGCGUAUUACCGGUGGAGUUCUUAUAUGUGAUUAAAUACUUGUAUUUUUUCAUAUGUUCCUCCUAUUUAAAAAACCUGCAUUAGUGCUCUUAAACGAGUGUUAUUGUGGGCCGGUACUAUUACUUUGAACAAAUUAGAGUGCUUAAAGCAGGCUUCAAAUGCCUGAAUAUUCUGUGCAUGGGAUAAUGAAAUAAGACCUCUGUUCUGCUUUCAUUGGUUUUCAGAUCAAGAGGUAAUGAUUAAUAGAAGCAGUUUGGGGGCAUUAGUAUUACGACGCGAGAGGUGAAAUUCUUGGACCGUCGUAAGACUAACUUAAGCGAAAGCAUUUGCCAAAGAUGUUUUCAUUAAUCAAGAACGAAAGUUAGAGGUUCGAAGGCGAUCAGAUACCGCCCUAGUUCUAACCAUAAACGAUGCCAGCUAGCAAUUGGGUGUAGCUAUUUUAUGGCUCUCUCAGUCGCUUCCCGGGAAACCAAAGCUUUUGGGCUCGCGGGGAAGUAUGGUUGCAAAGCUGAAACUUAAAGGAAUUGACGGAAGGGCACCACCAGGAGUGGAGCCUGCGGCUUAAUUUGACUCACACGGGAAACUUACCAGGUCCGAACAUAAGUGUGUAAGACAGAUUGAUAGCUCUUUCUCGAAUCUAUGGGUGGUGGUGCAUGGCCGUUCUUAGUUCGUGGAGUGAUUUGUCUGGUUAUAUUCCGAUAACGAACGAGACUCAAAUAUAUUAAAUAGUAUCUUCAGGAUUAUGGUGCUGAAGCUUAUGUAGCCUUCAUUCAUGUUGGCAGUAAAUGCUUAUUGUGUUUGAAUGUGUUUUA
rnacentral:rRNA from 1 species